UUAAAUAACACGGCACCGCUCAAACGUCAAAUAGUGAACUCGUGCAUUGGUCCAUAGAAAAACAACUGCAAGAAUUGCUAAGUGAAUUAAAUAUUGCGGGCCAUUUAUUGGGAAUAUUUGAUGUGUGGAGUUGAUUUGACGGAUUUGUUGACGAUUACGGCGGAUCAAAUCCGCACAUCCUUGGAACCCACACAAAUCAAGUGGAGGUAUUCGGUUCUCUACGAAUUAAUUUCGUCCUGGCGAACACGAAACG